rnacentral:misc_RNA from 1 species
GAUGAAGAACGUAGCGAAAUGCGAUAAGUAGUGUGAAUUGCAGAUUUCAGUGAAUCAUCGAAUCUUUGAACGCACAUUGCGCCCUUUGGUAUUCCUUAGGGCAUGCCUGUUCGAGCGUCAUUUAAACCUUCAAGCUAAGCUUGGUGUUGGGUGACUGUCCGCUUCACGGCGGACUCGCCUCAAAAUUAUUGGCGGCCGGUACAUUGGCUUCGAGCGCAGCAGAAACGCGAACUCGGGCCCGUCGUAUUGGCUCCCAGAAGCUAUCUUCACAAUUUUGACCUCGGAUCAGGUAGGGAUACCCGCUGAACUUAAGCAUAUCAAUAAGCGGAGGA